AAGAACAUCUUUAAUUAUGCACACGAAGUUCUAAAAGAAUGUACUUAAUAUUCUAGUAUAUGUGUAUGAGAGUUAAAGAGAAUUUUUCUUUAUUUGUUACAGUUAUAGAUAUAUUUCGAGUUAAGAGAAUUUUAUUUGUUUAUUACGGUUAUUAAUAUAUCAUAAAGAGAUGCCACUUCCAAAAAUAUUGAAAAUUUCUACGCAAUUUUCAUGACUAUUUUUGCAUAUCGGAUAAGACAAUUGCCACCCACCUAAAAGUAUAAACUAUAUAGUAUUUUGUUCUAAAAAAUAUAUUAGUAAUAUCGUAAGGUACAAAUCAUAUAGUAUUUUGUUUUAAAAAAUAUGUUAGUAAUAUAUUUGCUUGUUUUAAUUGAGUAGAGCUAGAAUACUUUUAUAAGUAUCACCCGAGUGAUACUUGUGUGUUUUUAGCCCUUGAAUUGAGAGAUGUGAGGUUGAAAUGAUGAGGGUAGGUGGUGGUAGGUGGUGAUAGGUGGAAUAAUGUUUGAUCCAAGGGCUAUUUGUAAUCAAAAAGUAGAUCCAAUGGCUAAAAACGUGAUAGCAAAAUGGAGAUGAUACUUGUAAAAGUAUCCUAGAUCAAGUCGUUUUAACAUAUGUUUUUUGUUUCUUCUAGUAUAUUAGACAAAACGAUAGUAAAAAAUAUGUUAGUAAUAUAUAUUUUUUAAAAAUAUAUUAGUAAUAUAUUUGCUUGUUUUAAAAAUAUGUUAGUAAUAUAUUUGUUUGUUUUAAUAUAUGUUUUUUUCUUUCUUCUAGUAUAUUAGACAAAAUGAGAGUGUCAAUGAUCAUGCAGUUUCAAUUUAGACAGCCAAUGAUGAAGCUGGGGUUUCAAAUAUUCAUGUGGGCGACAAUGAAGGUAUUGUUUGGUUGUUGUUGAUCGACAUUUUUUUUAUGACAACAGCUACAUU
rnacentral:lncRNA from 1 species